UCUCUCUCUCUCUCUCAGACACACUUAAAUUCUUGACUGGGUUGAGCUGAAAUUUCUUGAAUUUUCUUGAGGCAAGUUCAAGAUGGCCUGGGCAUGCUUUGAAAUCAGAUAACUUUAAUCAGUUAAGAAAAUUAUUAAUUGAGCUCUUUAAUUUGACCAGAGCAAUUUAACAAAUAUGUGAUCUGUACAUGUCUUACUGGAAUUGAGAGUCAGUAUAGUUUUGUUGGUUUCUUAUUAUUAUUUUUUUUUAAAGAAGGGAUCAAUUAGAUAAGAGAUUCUAGUUAGAUUAACAUUUUAGUGAUUUUAUGAGUUUCACGGUUAUUUCUAUCUUCUAAACUUGACCAUGGAAACUUUGAUUGCAUUUCUAAAAAUUUUCUUGUCUAUUUGCACAAUCAUUUCUGUAGACAUCAGCCAGACAUGGUUGCAGAAAAACAACACUGUAAGCAUCAAUCUAUUAGUGAUGGUUUCACAUUUUGGAAAUUUAUUUUAAUUGAAGACAAGGAGUUUGGAGUAUAUACAUAUUUAUUUUCCUCCCUUAAAUUAAUGUUUUUUUAAUGGUGGAUUGUUUUCAGCAAAGAUGGUAACCAGAACAGUGGAUCUCCGGUCUGACACUGUCACUAAACCAACUGAAGCAAUGAGGGCAGCUAUGGCAAAUGCUGAGGUUGAUGAUGACGUUCUGGGUUAUGACCCAACUGCGUCACGGUUAGAGACUGAAAUGGCCAAAAUCAUGGGCAAGGAAGCAGCUCUUUUUGUUCCAUCAGGCACCAUGGGUAACCUUGUUAGUGUGCUUGUGCAUUGUGACGUUAGGGGAAGUGAAGUAAUUCUUGGACACAAUUCUCACAUCCACAUAUAUGAGAAUGGAGGCAUUUCAACUCUUGGAGGUGUGCAUCCAAGGACAGUGCCGAAUAACAAGGAUGGAACGAUGGAUAUCAAUUUAAUUGAAGCUGCAAUUAGAGAUCCAAGAGGGGGACUUGUGUAUCCAACUACUAGGCUUAUCUGCCUGGAGAAUUCACAAGCCAACUGUGGUGGUAGAUGCCUAUCUGUAGAAUAUACAGAUAGAGUUGGAGAAUUAGCUAAAAAGCAUGGUUUGAAGCUUCACAUUGAUGGGGCUCGCAUUUUCAAUGCAGCAGUUGCGCUUGGAGUUCCUGUGCAUAGGCUUGUUCAAGCUGCUGAUUCAGUUUCGGUAUGCCUAUCAAAAGGUUUAGGUGCGCCAGUUGGAUCAGUUAUUGUUGGUUCAAAAAGCUUUAUUGCAAAGGCUAGAAUCCUUAGGAAAACAUUAGGAGGUGGGAUGCGACAGGUUGGUAUCCUUUGUGCCGCUGCUUUAGUUGCCUUGCAAGAGAACGUUGGAAAGCUUGAGGAUGAUCACAAGAAAGCCAAGACACUAGCAGAGGGACUGAAUCAAAUUAAAGGACUAAGAGUGGAUGUCGCUGCGGUAGAAACCAACAUUAUAUAUUUGGACAUACUAGAUGACUCAAAAUUUACAGCAGAAAAUCUAAGCAAGAGCUUGGAACAACAUGGUGUACUUGUGAUGUUAGAGGGCCCAUUCAGGUCUGUUUAUACCCCGCCAUGGAGCCAUGACAUUUCAUUUUCUCCAUUCUUGCGCAUGUUAUAGAGUGACACGAGUGAAAGCAUUCUGAAUCAUUGAUCUUUAGUAUGCUAGUAUACUGCUCGCAGCAUCUCAUUAAGCUCAUAUUUGCAAAUGUUUACUAUUACAGGAGUGUGUUUCCUGAUUGAGUUGUAUAUGAUUAUUCAUGAAAAACUUUUAUGACUAUACUUCCUGAUUAAACCAGGCAUUUGUUACAUCUGUAACCGAUCUGUGCAACUCUGAGCACUUCCUACAAAUUUUCUUUAAAUUUGCAUAAUUUGCCUCAGAUUCUGAAUUUUGAAACUAAUUAUCAUGUGAGUAGAGCAGCAUUUUGGUCAAUGAUAAUAUUCGGGUGCGUGUGCAGUUCAGAAGGCAUAAUAUUCAAUUAAUCCUUGGCGUAACAAAAUUCUUGUUUACAUUACCAAAUGCAUUGUUUUAAUGUUCAUCUGGAUAGACAGGGAGCUAACGAGUUUGUGUUCCUGUUCUUUUCCUUUCUUUAUCAGCAUUAGGAUUGUUCUUCACCACCAAAUUUCAGCAAGUGAUGUGCAGUACACUUUUUCAUGCUUUCAGGUAAUAGAAGUUUCCUGAUCUCCAUCUGCAAAAGUUUUUACUUGUUCUGAAAAAUUGUAAAGGUCACAUUUCUGCUUGGUUGAAAUUGCAGCAAGCUUUAACAGGGGUGCAAGAUGAAAAUGGCAACUAGAGGAAGAAAUGAUGUGAAUUUCUCUUUAAUAAGAUUAUUUCCAUCUGUUAAGUACAAGUGUUAGACUCUUCAUUAGAAGGAAACUGCCUUCACCAGUGUCCUGUGUGUUUUACUUUAUAGUUUGAAAUUAAAAAUGGUUAAACAAAUAAGCAGUACCCUACUGCUCAUAGUCUGUAACAUUUAUUAUAGCCAAUAAGGAAAUUAAAUUUAAUAUUAGGCUAAAUAUUAAAUUUUACGCUUGUACUUGUUAGGAAAGUUUAAUUUAAUUCAUUUUUAACAUUUU
rnacentral:misc_RNA from 1 species